UCAUUCACUUUGAUUCCCUCUCUCUCUGUCCUCUGGUUACACUCGGCUGCUUCCACUCAUCAGUUCUCCUCAGUAUAUAUUCCUCUUUGGUUCUUUAGUCACUGCUGGUUCAUCGUCUCUAUGCUGAUAAAUCCUGCUGAUAAAUGUCUGUCCUGUGCUAUUCUGCCCUCAUUGUCUUCCCACCAUGUUCCUGCCUUCAUCACAACAGCUUCAGCCUAAAUCUACUAGGUACUGAUGGUGCCACAAUCAGACCUCCUCCAGUGGGAUCCGAUCAGCGACGCCUCCACUCCUUCUCCAGAGGGUAAGGCUGACGCCUCCACUCCGCCUCAGCCUGUGCUGCGCCUCAGAGCACCAGAGGACCCGAGCUUGAGAUGACCAGCCACCCACCCCACACCAGGGAACAGGGUUAGCAGCCCCAGGCCGAAGAGGCACAGAGCAAGAUGAGGGCACAAAAGCAACACCCCACUAAGGUGGGCAGCCCCCUGUUGGGCCCCCCAUGCUGACAUCAGUGACCCCGAGGCCAUCCCCACACCCCAGUCUCCAACGAGCUGGCAAAGGCUCCAUAGCGGAACCAUGGUAGCCUGCGGUGCCCCCCCCCCGAGCACAGGCCCCUCUCCAUGGUGUUGGUGUGUGUGUCUGUGGUAAUGUGAUGUGUUGUGAUGAAUGCCAAUAACUAUAUCUAAAGUGCAUAUGAAUUGAGGCUGUAGCUGGGACAUAAGAGACCCCACUCUUUGUUGACAGCUGUGUCUCCCCUAGCCCAACCCCAAAGCCCUAAGGCUCUCUAGUGGAUUAAAAUUGAAGUACAGGACAGGGCCAAAUAUAACAAAGUUUCUACAAUCACACUGAUCACAUGCAACAAAGUUAAGUAAUGAUUUGCUGUUCGAGGAUCCGGUAUUCAUUCAUAUAAAGGGUUUAAUAAGAAAAGCGUUGCUUGACUUUUCUUCUGAGGCCUCCAGAAGCCCUAAUCGAAGCAGAUGUCUGCAACAGCCUGGACCACAUUGCACAACUUCCUGUGUGCACGUCCAGGUAGCAAGAACUACCCAGCAGCACCACGGACGCUUAAGGAGCUGAAUAUGCCUUUGUCGUACGGUUCGGCCAGGCCAGCUCAAAGCCGACCCCCUACAGCUACUGAGAUUAGCUGCAACACUGGUCCCUUUCAGUCCACACGUGGAUGACCGGACCUCCCUCAUCUCGUCGCCUGGAAAGCUUGUCCUCAGCACCGUUCACGUAAGAGGUAGUGUUUGGGGAAA